CCUACGGGAGGCAGCAGUGGGGAAUAUUGCACAAUGGAGGGAACUCUGAUGCAGCGACGCCGCGUGAGUGAAGAAGUAACUCGUUAUGUAAAGCUCUAUCAGCAGGGAAGCAAGUGACGGUACCUGAAAAAGAAGCUGCGGCUAAAUACGUGCCAGCAGCCGCGGUCAUACGUAUGGAGCAAGCGUUAUCAGGAUUUACUGGGGUUAAAGGGGGAGUAUGUGGCAGAGCAAGUCCGGAGUGAAAACCCAAAACUGAACUAUGGGAAUGUCUUAGAAACUGCUCAGCUAGAGUACAGGAGAGGCAAGUGGAAUGCUUAGUGUAGCGGUGAAAUGCAUAGAUAUUAGGAGGAACACCAGUGGCGAAGGCGGCUUGCUGGACUGUAACUGACGCUGAGGCUCGAAAGCGUGGGGAGCAAACAGGAUUAGAUACCCUAGUAGUC
rnacentral:rRNA from 1 species